rnacentral:rRNA from 1 species
GACGAACGCUGGCGGCGUGCUUAACACAUGCAAGUCGAGCGGUAAGGCCCUUUCGGGGGUACACGAGCGGCGAACGGGUGAGUAACACGUGGGUGACCUGCCCUCAGCUCUGGGAUAAGCCUGGGAAACCGGGUCUAAUACUGGAUAUGACUCCAUGACGCAUGUUGUGGGGUGGAAAGCCUUGUGCGGCUGAGGAUGGGCCCGCGGCCUAUCAGCUUGUUGGUGGGGUGAGGCCUACCAAGGCGACGACGGGUAGCCGGCCUGAGAGGGCGACCGGCCACACUGGGACUGAGACACGGCCCAGACUCCUACGGGAGGGCAGCAGUGGGGAAUCUUGCGCAAUGGGCGAAAGCCUGACGCAGCGACGCCGCGUGAGGGAUGACGGCCU